AAGGAUCAUUACAGAGUUCAUGCCCUCACGGGUAGAUCUCCCACCCUUGAAUAUUAUACCUUAGUUGCUUUGGCAGGCCGGGGCAACCCCCGGGGCUUCGGCCUUGGUGUGCCUGCCAGAGGAAACAAACUCUGUUUUUAGUGAUGUCUGAGUACUAUAUAAUAGUUAAAACUUUCAACAACGGAUCUCUUGGUUCUGGCAUCGAUGAAGAACGCAGCGAAAUGCGAUAAGUAAUGUGAAUUGCAGAAUUCAGUGAAUCAUCGAAUCUUUGAACGCACAUUGCGCCCCGUGGUAUUCCGCGGGGCAUGCCUGUUCGAGCGUCAUUUCAACCCAUCAAGCUUCGGCUUGGUCUUGGGGCCUGCGAUUCCGCAGCCUCUAAACCCAGUGGCGGUGCCUCGGAGCUCUGAGCGUAGUAAUUCUUCUCGCUAUAGGGUCUCGGUGGUGUCUUGCCAGUAACCCCCAAUUUUUUACAGGUUGACCUCGGAUCAGGUAGGGAUACCCGCUGAACUUAAGCAUAUCAAUAAGCGGAGGAAAAGAAACCAACAGGGAUUACCUCAGUAACGGCGAGUGAAGCGGUAACAGCUCAAAUUUGAAAUCUGCCGCAAGGCCGAGUUGUAAUUUGUAGAAGAUGCUUUGGGUAUGGCCCCGGUCUAAGUUCGUUGGAACACGACGUCAUAGAGGGUGAGAAUCCCGUAUGUGACUGGGUGCUUUUGCCUAUGUAAAGCUCUUUCGACGAGUCGAGUUGUUUGGGAAUGCAGCUCAAAAUGGGUGGUAUAUUUCAUCUAAAGCUAAAUAUUGGCCAGAGACCGAUAGCGCACAAGUAGAGUGAUCGGAAGAUGAAAAGCACUUUGGAAAGAGAGUUAAACAGUACGUGAAAUUGUUGAAAGGGAAGCGCUUGCAACCAGACUUGCACGCUGUUGAUCAUCCAGGCUUCUGUCUGGUGCACUCGGCAGCGUUCAGGCCAGCAUCGGUUCUGGUGGUGGGAUAAAGGCCUUGGGAAUGUAGCUUCUUUCGGGGAGUGUUAUAGCCCUCGGUGCAAUGCCGCCUAUCGGGACCGAGGACCGCGCUUCGGCUAGGAUGCUGGCGUAAUGGUUGUAAGCGACC
rnacentral:rRNA from 1 species